rnacentral:rRNA from 1 species
CACGUAGGGGGCGAGCGUUGUCCGGAUUUAUUGGGCGUAAAGGGUGCGUAGGUGGCGGGGUAAGUUUGAUGUGAAAUCUCCGGGCUUAACCCGGAAACUGCAUUGAAUACUAUUCUGCUCGAGGUUUGGAGGGGGGACUGGAAUUCUCGGUGUAGCAGUGAAAUGCGUAGAUAUCGAGAGGAACACCAGUGGCGAAGGCGAGUCCCUGGACAACACCUGACACUGAGGCACGAAAGCUAGGGGAGCAAACAGG